rnacentral:rRNA from 1 species
CCUACGGGUGGCAGCAGUGGGGGAUAUUGGACAAUGGGGGGAACCCUGAUCCAGCGACGCCGCGUGAGUGAAGAAGUAUUUCGGUAUGUAAAGCUCUGUCAGCAGGGAAGAAAGCAAUGACGGUACCUGACCAAGAAGCCCCGGCUAACUACGUGCCAGCAGCCGCGGUAAUACGGAGGGGGCAAGCGUUAUCCGGAAUUACUGGGUGUAAAGGGAGAGUAGACGGCUGUGCAAGUCUGGAGUGAAAGGCUGGGUCCCAAACCCCGGACUGCGCUGGAAACUGUAUGGCUGGAGUGCAGAAGAGGAGAGCGGAAUUCCUAGUGUAGCGGUGAAAUGCGUAGAUAUUAGGAGGAACACCAGUGGCGAAGGCGGCUUACUGGACUGUAACUGACGUUGAGGCUCGAAAGCGUGGGGAGCAAACAGGAUUAGAUACCCCAGUAGUC